UACUUAGGAAUCUGCCCAGUAGUGGGGGACAACUCGAGGAAACUCGAGCUAAUACCGCAUACGCCCUAUGGGGGAAAGUGGAGGAUCUUCGGACUUCACGCUAUUGGAUGAGCCUAAGUCGGAUUAGCUUGUUGGUAGGGUAAAGGCCUACCAAGGCGACGAUCCGUAGCUGGUCUGAGAGGACGAUCAGCCACACUGGGACUGAGACACGGCCCAGACUCCUACGGGAGGCAGCAGUGGGGAAUAUUGGACAAUGGGGGCAACCCUGAUCCAGCAAUGCCGCGUGUGUGAAGAAGGCCU
rnacentral:rRNA from 1 species